GACGAACGCUGGCGGCGCGCUUAAUACAUGCAAGUCGAGCGAGAACCAGGGCUUCGGCCCUGGGGACAGCGGCGAACGGGUGAGUAACACGUGGGUAAUCAACCCCCGACACCGGGAUAGCCCAGGGAAACUUGGAUUAAUACCGGAUGCCCCAUCUGGCUUUCGAGCCGGCCGGAAAAGGGUAGCUUCGGCCUCCGGUCGGGGACGAGCCCGCGGCGGAUUAGCUUGUUGGUGAGGUAAAGGCUCACCAAGGCGACGAUCCGUAGCUGGUCUGAGAGGACGAUCAGCUACACUGGGACUGAGACACGGCCCAGACUCCUACGGGAGGCAGCAGUAGGGAAUCUUGCGCAAUGGGCGAAAGCCUGACGCAGCGACGCCGCGUGAGGGAAGAAGGCCUUCGGGUUGUAAACCUCUUUCAGGAGGGACGAAGCCACUCGGGUUAAUAGCCUAGAGGGUGACGGUACCUCCAGAAGAAGCCCCGGCUAACUACGUGCCAGCCGCCGCUGUAACAC
rnacentral:rRNA from 1 species